rnacentral:rRNA from 1 species
UACGUAGGACCCGAGCGUUGUCCGGAAUUACUGGGUGUAAAGGGCGUGUAGGUGGGUCUCUAAGUCGGUGGUGAAAUCCUGCAGCUUAACCGUAGAAUUGCCAUCGAUACUGGAGGUCUUGAGUGCGGCAGAGGGAGAUGGAAUUCAUGGUGUAGCGGUGAAAUGUGUAGAUAUCAUGAAGAACACCAGUAGCGAAGGCGGUCUCCUGGUCCGUAACUGACACUGAGGCGCGAAAGCGUGGGGAGCAAACAGG